GAAGAGUAUUGACAGGUUUUGGCUAGGCCAGCUUUGGUCAUCACUGCUAAAUCUGAGUAUAUCUUCCUGGCAAAGCCGAGCAAGAUGCCCAACAAAAUAAAAGGAAUAAGAGAGCAGGCUACUGAAGGCUGGAUUCGUGGCAAUUAUUUGGAGCACCCCGGAUGACAAUAGGAGUGUCAAAAGGUCAUAGUCAUCUACACAUCUCGGGAAGCCUUCACUCCUCAGUUUAG
rnacentral:misc_RNA from 1 species